GGUGCGAAAUAAACUCUAAAUCCAAAACAAAGGGUGCGAAAUAAACACUAAGUCCUUCAGUAUUUAGUCCUAGGGAUCUGAUUGUUUUUUGGUUUGGGAGAAAAUGAGGAAGAAGAUCGAAAAAUUAGCUUGGUGAAGGUGAAUGGUGACUGAAGCUGCGCUAGAAAUUGGAAAAUAAAAAUAGGGUUAGGGUUAGCAAACAGUAUUCGGUAAUGUAUAUAUGCGAAGCAGCGAAUGAGUGAAGGAUAGGGUAGUAAUAUUAUUAUCAAAUAAGGGUAUAUUUGUC
rnacentral:lncRNA from 1 species